rnacentral:rRNA from 1 species
GAUGAACGCUAUCUACAGGCUUAACACAUGCAAGUCGAGGGGCAGCAUGGUCUUAGCUUGCUAAGGCCGAUGGCGACCGGCGCACGGGUGAGUAACACGUAUCCAACCUGCCGUCUACUCUUGGACAGCCUUCUGAAAGGAAGAUUAAUACAAGAUGGCAUCAUGAGUCCGCAUGUUCACAUGAUUAAAGGUAUUCCGGUAGACGAUGGGGAUGCGUUCCAUUAGAUAGUAGGCGGGGUAACGGCCCACCUAGUCUUCGAUGGAUAGGGGUUCUGAGAGGAAGGUCCCCCACAUUGGAACUGAGACACGGUCCAAACUCCUACGGGAGGCAGCAGUGAGGAAUAUUGGUCAAUGGGCGAGAGCCUGAACCAGCCAAGUAGCGUGAAGGAUGACUGCCCUAUGGGUUGUAAACUUCUUUUAUAAAGGAAUAAAGUCGGGUAUGGAUACCCGUUUGCAUGUACUUUAUGAAUAAGGAUCGGCUAACUCCGUGCCAGCAGCCGCGGUAAUACGGAGGAUCCGAGCGUUAUCCGGAUUUAUUGGGUUUAAAGGGAGCGUAGAUGGAUGUUUAAGUCAGUUGUGAAAGUUUGCGGCUCAACCGUAAAAUUGCAGUUGAUACUGGAUAUCUUGAGUGCAGUUGAGGCAGGCGGAAUUCGUGGUGUAGCGGUGAAAUGCUUAGAUAUCACGAAGAACUCCGAUUGCGAAGGCAGCCUGCUAAGCUGCAACUGACAUUGAGGCUCGAAAGCGUGGGUAUCAAACAGGAUUAGAUACCCUGGUAGUCCACACGGUAAACGAUGAAUACUCGCUGUUUGCGAUAUACUGCAAGCGGCCAAGCGAAAGCGUUAAGUAUUCCACCUGGGGAGUACGCCGGCAACGGUGAAACUCAAAGGAAUUGACGGGGGCCCGCACAAGCGGAGGAACAUGUGGUUUAAUUCGAUGAUACGCGAGGAACCUUACCCGGGCUUAAAUUGCAGAUGAAUUACGGUGAAAGCCGUAAGCCGCAAGGCAUCUGUGAAGGUGCUGCAUGGUUGUCGUCAGCUCGUGCCGUGAGGUGUCGGCUUAAGUGCCAUAACGAGCGCAACCCUUGUUGUCAGUUACUAACAGGUUCCGCUGAGGACUCUGACAAGACUGCCAUCGUAAGAUGUGAGGAAGGUGGGGAUGACGUCAAAUCAGCACGGCCCUUACGUCCGGGGCUACACACGUGUUACAAUGGGGGGUACAGAGGGCCGCUACCACGCGAGUGGAUGCCAAUCCCCAAAACCUCUCUCAGUUCGGACUGGAGUCUGCAACCCGACUCCACGAAGCUGGAUUCGCUAGUAAUCGCGCAUCAGCCACGGCGCGGUGAAUACGUUCCCGGGCCUUGUACACACCGCCCGUCAAGCCAUGGGAGCCGGGGGUACCUGAAGUGCGUAACCGCGAGGAGCGCCCUAGGGUAAAACUGGUGACUGGGGCUAAAA